UACAGAGGUCUCAAGCGUUGUUCGGAUUCACUGGGCGUAAAGCGCACGUAGGCGGAUUGUUAAGUCAGGGGUGAAAUCCUGGAGCUCAACUCCAGAACUGCCUUUGAUACUGGCGAUCUUGAGUCCGGGAGAGGUGAGUGGAACUGCGAGUGUAGAGGUGAAAUUCGUAGAUAUUCGCAAGAACACCAGUGGCGAAGGCGGCUCACUGGCCCGGUACUGACGCUGAGGUGCGAAAGCGUGGGGAGCAAACCGG
rnacentral:rRNA from 1 species